rnacentral:rRNA from 1 species
CGCGGCCUAUCAGCUUGUUGGUGAGGUAAUGGCUCACCAAGGCUUCGACGGGUAGCCGGCCUGAGAGGGCGACCGGCCACACUGGGACUGAGAUACGGCCCAGACUCCUACGGGAGGCAGCAGUGGGGAAUAUUGCACAAUGGGCGCAAGCCUGAUGCAGCAACGCCGCGUGCGGGAUGACGGCCUUCGGGUUGUAAACCGCUUUCAGUAGGGACGAAGCUAACGUGACGGUACCUACAGAAGAAGGACCGGCUAACUACGUGCCAGCAGCCGCGGUGAUACGUAGGGUCCGAGCGUUGUCCGGAAUUAUUGGGCGUAAAGGGCUUGUAGGCGGUCCGUCGCGUCAGGAGUGAAAACUCGGGGCUUAACCCCGAGCCUGCUUUUGAUACGGGCGGACUAGAGGGAUGCAGGGGAGAACGGAAUUCCUGGUGGAGCGGUGGAAUGCGCAGAUAUCAGGAGGAACACCGGUGGCGAAGGCGGUUCUCUGGGCAUCACCUGACGCUGAGAAGCGAAAGCGUGGGGAGCAAACAGGCUUAGAUACCCUGGUAGUCCACGCCGUAAACGGUGGGCACUAGGUGUGGGGGACAUUCCACGUUCUCCGUGCCGAAGCUAACGCAUUAAGCGCCCCGCCUGGGGAGUACGG